rnacentral:rRNA from 1 species
GACAGAGGAUGCAAGCGUUAUCCGGAAUGAUUGGGCGUAAAGAGCUCGUAGGUGGUUCGGUAAGUCGGAUGUGAAAUCUCCAGGCUCAACCUGGAGGGGUCAUUCGAUACUGCCGUGACUAGAGUUCGGUAGGGGAGUGUGGAAUUCCUGGUGGAGCGGUGAAAUGCGCAGAUAUCAGGAGGAACACCCGUAGCGAAGGCGGCACUCUGGGCCGAUACUGACACUGAGGAGCGAAAGCGUGGGGAGCGAACAGG